rnacentral:lncRNA from 1 species
CACACACGCACUCUCUCUAACCCCUUCCACCCUUCACACCUGUAGUCCUCAGGUUUGGGGCAGCUUCCUUGGACCCUGAUUUCUUGAAAAUUGGAUAAAAUGGUUCCAACAGGGGAAAUAAAGGUCCUGCCUCCAUCUUGAGUUCUACUUGGAAUAUGAAGCCCCGUCUGCAGAGGCGAGGCGGUGGGAUUUCUUGCUUCCAGCCUGGCAAAGAAGCUGCCAUUGAUUGGGGAGGGAGGGGAAUAAACCCAUCUUCCCUCUCAACAAGAACGACUAUUUCAUGAAGAUCUGGAUGACUUUGACGGGGCCUUGGCCAUUUAUUUGGCCCCAGUGUGGGGCUGUGCUAUUUCACCGAUCUCCAUGGAGUUGAUGCAGGUAUUUACCAAGAUGCCUCUACGAGUCACACACAAGGGACACCAAGGUGGACAAGACACAGUCCCUCUCCUCAGGGAGUUGAUAAGGCCAUGGGAACAUAGACAAGUAAACAGGUGAUAAAGGCCAUUAUAUAAUGGAGUAUACUGCAGAUCUUAAAAACACAAGUUGCAAAGGGUACCUUUGCUUUAAGAUAAAUGCAGGAUAAAAAUUGUAUAUACUGCUCUAUGUAAAAACAUUUAAAUAAAAAUAUAAAUAU